GCUGAACAAACUUCGUUACAAGGAUGCUAAAGGCGAUCCAAAGGGUUUUGUAACCUUUUUGGACCAACAUGAGUUGCCCAGAGGAUUGCUACCACGCUAUAGAGGGAACAGACUACAUAUACUUUUUCACACAUGUGGUAUUUUGAUCCAUCAUUAUGCCAUAUUGAAGAUAUUUCUGUGUUCUGGCUUGGCGUUAUGUGGAGGUCUGCGAAAUAGUUUGUUUCAAGACUUUACAUCUGAAAUAGGUAUCCGUGAGUUGUGUGUUUUAGCUUUAAUUGGAAAGCUACUUUCUGGCCCUUGGAUGACAAAAUUU
rnacentral:lncRNA from 1 species